GACGAACGCUGGCGGCGUGCUUAACACAUGCAAGUCGAACGAGUGGCGAACGGGUGAGUAAGACGUGGGUAACCUGCCCUCUGUUGGGGGUAAGCCUUGGAAACGGGGACUAAUACCGAAUAAAGGGGGAUGGGCUCGCGGCCUAUCAGCGUGUUGGUGGGGUGAUGGCCUACCAAUGCGGUGAUGGGUAGCGGGCCUGAGAGGGUGACCGGCCACAUUGGGACGGAGAUACGGCCCAGAGUCCUACGCGAGGGAGCAGUGGGGGAUAUUGCACAAUGGGCGAAAGCCUGAUGCCGCGACGCCGCGUGGGGGAUGAGGGCUUUCGGGUUGUAAACCUCUGUCGCUAUCGAAGGGGUAGGUGGAGAAGAAGCGCCGGCUAACUACGUGCCAGCAGCCGCGGUAAUAC
rnacentral:rRNA from 1 species